UCUGGAAAAAACAGACACUCAGAUGUAAUGUAUAUGUAUGUUAUAUAAUGGAUUCUAUAGGUAUGGCUACUGUCAAUCUGAGAAAAAUACAAUGAAGGCCUGAAGGGGGAAUGACUCUGAAUGUGUUGUUGUUCUGCUUUGUUAGAGAUGAGAUGCUUAUAAUC